UACAGAGGUCCCAAGCGUUGUUCGGAUUCACUGGGCGUAAAGGGUGCGUAGGCGGUCGGAUAAGUCUGAUGUGAAAUCUUCGAGCUCAACUCGGAAACUGCAUCGGAAACUAUUCGGCUGGAGGAUUGGAGGGGAGACUGGGAAUUCUCGGUGUAGCAGUGAAAUGCGUAGAUAUCGAGAGGAACACCAGUGGCGAAGGCGAGUCUCUGGACAAUUCCUGACGCUGAGGCACGAAAGCUAGGGGAGCAAACAGG
rnacentral:rRNA from 1 species